UGAUUGUCCAAACGCAAUUCUUGAUCGAUUUAAAAUAUUUCAAGGGUUGUGACUGGACAUCGUG
rnacentral:pre_miRNA from 1 species